ACGUGAUCUUCUGCGUUAAGAGGCCUGGCAGCUUCUCCUUUCAUAUCUCAGGGAAGCCAGCUGCAAGAUUCCUUCACCUGCAGCUCUGGCCAGCUGAACUGUUCAUCUGGAGUGUUGACAUCACACUGUAUUCAAUUCAAAGCACAGGGCUCAGGACUGGCUAGACCUGCACAGGAAGUCUGACUGAACCAUAAUCCGGCCUGAAAAGUGCCAAGGAGGAAGGCGCCAUGCCAGGCCUGUUGACGGACCCGGCCUGGGAGGCCAGAUGUACCUUCAGCACACGGGCUCCGAAUGCCGCCUCCUCUUCCCCGCACCACCCCCACCUCCCCGGCACCACCCGGAGCACAAUGGGGCCAUUUCAGAGCAAACCCUCAUCCGUGAAAUCCGUACUCCCAGAAGGAGUUCCCAGACCCAGUCAGGAAGGCUCUGGGGCUCCAGAGUGUAAAGUGAAACUCAGCUUUUGACGACCCAUCUCCUCCACCAGGGUCUGCGGUGACCAGGUGGAGGGCGGGGGACACAGCACCCUCACAAGCCAGAUCCCCUCCCACCGGAGGCAACUAGCAGAGGCAAGGGCAAAGAGAGAAUGAGCUCCUUGUCUCUGGAGACGUGACCUGUCGCUGGGAGGCCUGCGGUCUUGCCACUUUAAGCAGCUAGGGUUAUAGAUGUCAAAUUCUUCAUCCCUCUGCCUCCAGGGCUGACCAAACUGCAAUGAAAACCACUCAUCCUGAGUUUAAAGAGUCCUAGAAAAGUCACCUUCACAGCUUCUCUG